AUUGAACGCUGGCGGCAGGCCUAACACAUGCAAGUCGAGCGAGCGGCGGACGGGUGAGUAAUGUCUGGGAACCUGCCUGAUGGAGGGGGAUAACUACUGGAAACGGUAGCUAAUACCGCAUACCAUCAGAUGCGCCCAGAUGGGAUUAGCUAGUAGCGGGGGUAACGGCUCACCUAGGCGACGAUCCCUAGCUGGUCUGAGAGGAUGACCAGCCACACUGGAACUGAGACACGGUCCAGACUCCUACGGGAGGCAGCAGUGGGGAAUAUUGCACAAUGGGCGCAAGCCUGAUGCAGCCAGGCCGCGUGUAGGAAGAAGGCCUUCGGGUUGUAAAGCACUUUCAGCGGGGAGGCGUUACCCGCAGAAGAAGCACCGGCUAACUCCGUGCCAGCAGCCGCGGUAAUUC
rnacentral:rRNA from 1 species